AACGAACGUUGGCGGCGUGGAUUAGACAUGCAAGUCGGGGGAAUCCCAGCAAUGGGGGAACCGGCGUAAGGGGCAGUAAGGCGUGGGUACCUACCGAGGGGUUCGGGAUAGCCAUCAGAGAUGGUGGGUAAUACCGGAUGACGUCGUGAGACCAAAGAUUUAUCGCCCUUCGAGGGGCCCACGUGAUAUUAGCUAGUUGGUGAGGUAACGGCUCACCAAGGCGAAGAUGUCUAGCGGGUGUGAGAGCACGACCCGCGCCACUCGCACUGAGACACUGGCGAGACACCUACGGGUGGCUGCAGUCGAGGAUCUUUGGCAAUGGGCGCAAGCCUGACCGAGCGACGCCGCGUGCGCGAUGAAGGCCUUCGGGUUGUAAAGCGCGAAAGAGGGGAGAAAAGCCCGCAAGGGUUUGAUCUAUCCUCAGUAAGCACGGGCUAAGUUCGUGCCAGCAGCCGCAGUAAGAC
rnacentral:rRNA from 1 species